AAACCCAAAAAGAAAAAAGAGAAGAGGAUAAAAAUACAAUGUUUGAUUGACUGACCGAGAAAUUUGGCAAACACAGGUGAAGAACAUUUCCAUUCUCCCUACAAAUCCCAAAAACCCUGCAACAAACUUCUCUCUGUGACGAUAAAUGAUGGCAAUUCCCCUCCAAACUCUCUCCCUGUCGUCCCGUUCUGAACCCCAAAGCCCAGCUCUCUCUCUGAACUCUCUUUCUCUUUGUCUUCGGCACUCUCCAGACCUCCCCUCUCUGCAACAACUUCACGCUCAUCUUCUCAAAACCCACAACCCUCAACCCCUCUCUCUCUCCAACACCCUUAUCUCCAUGUACUCUCUCUACAAC
rnacentral:lncRNA from 1 species